GUGACUGAUGUUCAUCUCAAGACAUACCUUCAGCUUAAUCCGAGGGGAUUCCCGACAUGAAUAGGUUUUCUACGAAAGGCGACAGGUUUUGUUACCUGGUCGACCAACUGAAAUGCCCAAGCAGCGAAGAAAAUCGUGUGGAACAUUUCGCUGAGUUGUCCACACUUAUUCCCUUCGUGAAAGUUGCAAGAAAAUACUUGUCUAAAGAUACGGAUAUUCCAAGUUCAGGCGUCUUCUGGUCACGUGUUUUAAAGCGCUUAGCUAAGCACAAUGAGUGGAAUGCAAUGCACAGAUUGUUGCUAGGUCCGAAGGAUGGACCGAAGUCACCAAUUGACCGCAUAGCCGAAAGCUCUCCAACAUUGGAUAUAUCGAUCUCUGGUUUACUGAGAUCAUUGUCAGAUACUGAACUAUACCAGUGGGGUAUUAGGCUGGCCAUUUGUCUUUUGAAGAGAGGUGCGGCUUUAGAGAGUAUUGUUACUGAUUUCUUGGAACCCGUACCGGUUGUGGCGGUCAAUAUGGCUAUCAAGACAGGUAGGUAUUAAAUAACCGAACCACAUUCUUAAAAAUGUCCCCUAUUAUAUUUUGGUGUUCAGUACAAAACACGAC